GUGCUUGCUUUGACAGCACAUAUACUAAAAUCAGAAUGAUACAGAGAAGAUUAGCAUGGUCCCUGUGCAAGGAUGAUAUGCAAAUUCUUGAGGUGUUUCAUAUUUUU
rnacentral:snRNA from 1 species